GUGGGGAAUAUUGGACAAUGGGGGGAACCCUGAUCCAGCCAUGCCGCGUGUGUGAAGAAGGCCUUUUGGUUGUAAAGCACUUUAAGCGAGGAGGAGGCUACCGAGAUUAAUACUCUUGGAUAGUGGACGUUACUCGCAGAAUAAGCACCGGCUAACUCUGUGCCAGCAGCCGCGGUAAUACAGAGGGUGCAAGCGUUAAUCGGAUUUACUGGGCGUAAAGCGCGCGUAGGUGGCCAAUUAAGUCAAAUGUGAAAUCCCCGAGCUUAACUUGGGAAUUGCAUUCGAUACUGGUUGGCUAGAGUAUGGGAGAGGAUGGUAGAAUUCCAGGUGUAGCGGUGAAAUGCGUAGAGAUCUGGAGGAAUACCGAUGGCGAAGGCAGCCAUCUGGCCUAAUACUGACGCUCAUGUGCGAAAGCUAGGGUAGCGAACGGGAUUAGAAACCCUAGUAGUCC
rnacentral:rRNA from 1 species